rnacentral:tRNA from 2 species
AGUCUUGUAGUAUAUUGUUUACAUACGAUUGCAAAUCGUGAAAAGGAGAGAGAGUUCUCCCGGGGCUU